rnacentral:rRNA from 1 species
UCCUGGGCUCAGGGACGAAACGCUGGCGGCGUGCCUAAUACAUGCAAGUCGAGCGGGACAGAUGGGAGCUUGCUCCCCUGAUGUUAGCGGCGGACGGGUGAGUAAACACGUGGGUAACCUGCCUGUAAAGACUGGGAUAACUCCGGGAAACCGGGGCUAAUACCGGAUGGUUGUUUGAACCGCAUGGUUCAAACAUAAAAGGUGGCUUCGGCUACCACUUACAGACAGACCCGCGGCGCAUUAGCUAGUUGGUGAGGUAACGGCUCACCAAGGCAACGAUGCGUAGCCGACCUGAGAGGGUGAUCGGCCACACUGGGACUGAGACACGGCCCAGACUCCUACGGGAGGCAGCAGUAGGGAAUCUUCCGCAAUGGACGAAAGUCUGACGGAGCAACGCCGCGUGAGUGAUGAAGGUUUUCGGAUCGUAAAGCUCUGUUGUUAGGGAAGAACAAGUACCGUUCGAAUAGGGCGGUACCUUGACGGUACCUAACCAGAAAGCCACGGCUAACUACGUGCCAGCAGCCGCGGUAAUACGUAGGUGGCAAGCGUUGUCCGGAAUUAUUGGGCGUAAAGGGCUCGCAGGCGGUUUCUUAAGUCUGAUGUGAAAGCCCCCGGCUCAACCGGGGAGGGUCAUUGGAAACUGGGGAACUUGAGUGCAGAAGAGGAGAGUGGAAUUCCACGUGUAGCGGUGAAAUGCGUUUUAGAUGUGGAGGAACACCAGUGGCGAAGGCGACUCUCUGGUCUGUAACUGACGCUGAGGAGCGAAAGCGUGGGGAGCGAACAGGAUUAGAUACCCUGGUAGUCCACGCCGUAAACGAUGAGUGCUAAGUGUUAGGGGGUUUCCGCCC